rnacentral:rRNA from 1 species
GGGAACUACGAGCCAAGCUUAAAACCCAAAGGACUUGACGGUACCCCAUAUCCCCCUAGAGGAGCCUGUCCUAUAAUCGAUAACCCCCGUUCAACCUCACCAUUUCUAGCAACUCAGCCUGUAUACCUCCGUCGUCAGCUUACCACGUGAGCGCUAGUGAGCUCAAUGUUUUUUCAACUAAACGUCAGGUCAAGGUGCAACACAUGAGAUGGGAAGAGAUGGGCUACACUUUCUAACAUAGACCACACGAAAGACUAACUAUGAAAUCUAGUCAGAAGGCGGAUUUAGGAAGUAANAAAGUAACCAGAGAGU